GAGACAGCAGCAGCCGCGGUAAUACGUAGGGUGCGAGCGUUAAUCGGAAUUACUGGGCGUAAAGCGUGCGCAGGCGGUUUUGUAAGACAGGCGUGAAAUCCCCGGGCUCAACCUGGGAACUGCGCUUGUGACUGCACAGCUAGAGUAUGGCAGAGGGGGGUGGAAUUCCACGUGUAGCAGUGAAAUGCGUAGAGAUGUGGAGGAACACCGAUGGCGAAGGCAGCCCCCUGGGCCAAUACUGACGCUCAUGCACGAAAGCGUGGGGAGCAAACAGGAUUAGAUACCCCCGUAGUCCCUGUCUCUUAUAC
rnacentral:rRNA from 1 species